AGGUGUCCUAUGAUUAUUUUGGUCAAGGGGAUGAAUUAUAUGGAAAUUAUAUCCGCAUGGGUUCUAAGGAUGUUGUUCUACACAUUCGACCUAUCCGGACGUCGGGUACCAUUGCUAGAUGGUCACUUCGAUUGGUAUAGGAAUUUGUUUCUAUGCUACCGGCUUAGGCUCGGACCUAUGAGGUCAUACACAUUAGAGUUCAUAAUCCGAUCGGAUGGUUGAUCAACGAUUAAGAAUCAUUCUAGGGUUAAAUGAUCAAUACGAUUGACAUUUAACC
rnacentral:lncRNA from 1 species